GCACCUGUAGCUCAGUGGAUAGAGCGUUACCCUCCGAAGGUGAAGGUCGGGCGUUCGAAUCGCCCCAGGUGUACCA
rnacentral:tRNA from 1 species